rnacentral:rRNA from 1 species
GGGUGCCUACGGGGCGCAGCAGUAGGGAAUCUUCCACAAUGGGCGAAAGCCUGAUGGAGCAACGCCGCGUGGGUGAAGAAGGUCUUCGGAUCGUAAAACCCUGUUGUUAGAGAAGAAAGUGCGUGAGAGUAACUGUUCACGUUUCGACGGUAUCUAACCAGAAAGCCACGGCUAACUACGUGCAAGCAGCCGCGGAAAUACGUAGGUGGCAAGCGUUAUCCGGAUUUAUUGGGCGUAAAGGGAACGCGGGCGGUUUUUUAAGUCUGAUGUGAAAGCCUUCGGCUUGACCGGAG